rnacentral:tRNA from 2 species
GCCAGAUAGCUCAGUCGGUAGAGCAGAGGACUGAAAAUCCUUGUGUCGGCAGUUCGAUUCUGCCUCUGGCCACCAU